CGCUGAGGGAAGCGCGGCCGGGUACCGGCCCCACGGUGCGGCGGACGCUGCCGGGCUCCCCGCGUCACCCCCUGCGCGAGCUGCCCGGAGGCGCUGGGGAGCGGCCUGCGGCCGGUCUUGGUGACCGGAGGCGGCCGCUCAGGUGCGCGCGCCCCUCGCCGUUCCCUGGCGGCGGGUAACGAGCCGGCACGGGGAGCUGCUGAGAGGAGUUAGCGUUGGUGGUUACAGUAAAGCUGGAAUAACCUCGUUGAACUCUUUAACUUGUUUUCAGAGACUCGCUCUAAGCCUUCCGUGCACACGGAAGCGGAAUAUAUCUCUGCUAGCGCGUGUUUCUGUGACGGUUUUAAUAAAAACAGUCGGGUAGCGCUUUCCGCCCUUCUGCUCCUGUUUUUGCCCGCUGUGUCGCUCCCCGGGACGCCGGAGGAGUUUCUAGACUGCAGCAAAAUGCAGAUGACUUGACAGUGAAAAUUUUCAUUGCCUCCGAAAGUAACAUUUUAUGAGCUACAGUUUUGUCAGUGCUGCAUGCUCUUACUUCAGCACAUUAUCCAUCUUAUGUGGAGCUGCAGGCAUUCUUCAGGAGGAAGAAUAUACAACAAGUGAUGUCAGGUUGGCUCUCAGAAUUCCCUCAUUUCAGACAGGAAGAGGUUGUUGGAUAAUGGGAAUAUACUCUUGGAGAAUGUAUUAUAAGUCUGGUGGACAAACCCUCAUUAUUCUUGAUCAGCUGAUGCAAACUCUUUUCCCAAGUGCUAAGGGAGAGUAUAACUAAAGUCCCUGGAGCAGUCUUCAAAGGAAGAAAGAUGAAUAUUGAGAAAUGUUAUUUACAGCCUUUAGUGUUUCAUCCAUGAAAAUACAAAUUUAAAUACAGGGGCUGGUCACAUCUGCUGAAGUUUCUCCUUCACAGAAGCAAUGCUGAAGAGUCAAACACAGCUGCCCAGAAAAUGGUGGAAUGCAAGGACUUUGACUGUGAUGCCUCCAUCCAAGUGCACAUCCUGAUCUCGUGUUCCCAUGCUGGCAGAGCAUGACCAGGGAUGGGCUCCUGCCAGGCUGGCCUGGAGUCCUUACUGGCCCUUUGAAGUGUGCCAGCAUGAAGUGCUCAAUUUAUAUUUUGGUUUGGGAUAAUGUUUUCUGGCUCAUGGCAUAAGGCCUGCAAGAGGCAGGAACUGUUCAAACCUGCUCUAGACUGAAAACCCAGAACACCACCAAAAGCUCACACCUGUAGCCCACUGGGCCCAAGACGCUGCAUUCCAGCAGCAGAGGGACUGAUAACAAACUGAAUGAGCUGAGCUGCACCUCACAAAAAAGACUUUCUGCAUUUGUCAUGUCUUCAAAACAGCAAGAAGUUUGGUUGUAUUGUUCAUUUUUUAUGCUAGUAAAUACCUAUUAAAUAAACAGGUUUUUUUCCACUUUUCUCCAAAGAAAUCUUUUCCCAAACCAAUUAAAAGAAGAGCCAUUUAGAUUUGCUUUCUUAAAAAACCCCAAUUCAAAAGUUUCCUCGAAAAUUUGUCCUAAACCAGGACACUGGCUUCUCAGCCUCCUGAGCUGAUACUCUGACUGCAGUUAAUCACUCUCGGAUGGAGUUUACUAAAACAUAUCCUGAUUAGUCUAAAAGAGUUUAAUAAUUUUUUCCUUAGAUUAUUUUGAGAAACAGCUGUGCCACUGCACUAUGUUGAAAAGGACAUUAUGAUCCAUAUUGGGGGUAGUUAUGCAUAGCAACAGAUAAGGGGAAUGACUUCUUGCUUGACUUAACUGUAGUCAGAGAAGAUAAUCUGAUCUACUCUGUAGGCUUAGAGAUCAUUUUCUAGUACAUGAAAGAGAUUCUCCCCUAAAUAUUUAUUAGCAUAUGAUUGGGAUUCAUUUAAAACACAUCUGAUGGAUAAAAUUUGGGAUUAAGAUAAUGAAAAAGAGAAACAGUUUUUAUUGACAAAACUGAUAUUAAACAUGCCAGAGGGGGUGCUUUGUAUCCCCCUAUUCCAACUCUAAAAACAUCUAAAAUGGGCUCAUUUAAAGUGAUUCCUUUAUCAGCUGUGGUUGUUCUGAGUGCAGUCAGUGGCUUCAGUGGCUCCUCUGAGCAGUUUGUCAGGGCAGGGUGUGUUUCCUGACUGCCUGGAACUUGGUUAGAGUCUGCAAGAUGAUGAUUUGAAUAUGUUGAAUGUGAACCUGGUAAAUAUCUGUGUUUCAUUUCAAUUUUAUCAUAAAUGAGGAAGGAAGUCUGAAGCAAUGCAUUUCUAAUGCACAAAUAUAAUGAAUGGUGUGUUGUGUGUUAUAGCUGUACUUGCCAUUCAUCCUUGUUGAUAUGAAAACUGACCAGAGGAAAAAAAAUCUGAAAACUAGAAGUUUUCUCUCUCUCCAUUUCUGUGCCACUGCUAAGCCUCACAAAAGCCCUCUCCUGGUUUCCAUAGAAAUGGCCUGUCUGCUGAUUUGAGGUAAAGGUUCACUUCCUUUUUUCUUGUAUAUCUAAAGUCUGAGUUUCCUGAGAGAUUAUUUUAUCCUCUACAUCCUUCAUGUAUAGAAGGGCAACCCAGGUAGAAGGGCUGAUGGAAAAAAAUCUGGAUUUAUUUGACUGAAGAACAAAGAAAAAAGGCUUGUGUGUGUCACAUGUGCAUUUCUGUGAAUGUGAGCAGAACCAGCUCAGUGUGUGCAUGUUCCACAAUGUGCUCUUGCUCCUGUAAUGUUCCUGUGAUCCCACUGGAACAUCAGCAAGCAGAUUCAGGAGAUCCUGAGUUAAAGCCAUGCAGAUGUAGGCUCAAUUUCUCAUCGGGCUGAGUUUUAUAACUAUUUAUGUACACAAGAUUUUCUGUUUACAGUUUGUUUGCAUUAGAAGAAUACACCCAUUUCUUCGAACCAUAUGAUAGAAGAUGACUAGAAGAUAUAUUGGGGAACCACCCACAAAAUGUUUACAGUGAGUAAGGUGUUAAUCAGUUACAGCACUUCUUCCUAGUUUAGUUUGAGACAAUUAUGUCUACAAAGAAAAAUUCAGAAUUUAUCUCUGAUGAGUGUUACUCUUGGAACUUCCAACAGAAUUGCUUUAAUGGAGUUACUGUAACAGAGUUAUUUUAAAAUAAACGGGGAAUUGUGAGGCAUAUCCUCAAAUUUGUUAGCUAGUGUUUUGAAUUCAGAUGCUGAGUGCUUUGACAAGUUCUGUCCGUGGUGUUCAGUGCAUUAUCGAUGCUCAUUGACAUGAAGAAAAGCAGAAUUUAUUCUGCUGUUUCUGAGAGCAAGAGUUUGAUGUUGCUGAAAUAAGCGAUGCAUGAUUUUCAUAAUGCUGUUUUCUGUUUGUGUUCUGCUUUUUUCCCUUUUUCUUACCUUUGCUCCCCUUGACAUUUUCAGGAAUAUUAAAUCUUCCCAAUAGAGCUGUUUGCUUCUAUACUAGCAAAAAGGUCAUCUUAAGAAAUUCCAAAGAACAGUACUACAGAAGAGCUUGAGGAUUUUUUAGUGCUUUGGGUUUUCUUUCUGCUUUUGCCAGACUCAUUACUUGUCUCUCAGAUACCAUUGCUACCUUCUCACCUGUCAACAUGGAGCAGUAAUUAAAGCAAACCCCACUGUGAUCAUGUCCUUAAUUUGUGCUCUUUCAGGAGUGCCCAUGAAGUGAACAUUUCUUUUGUGAUUGCUCAGCUGCAGGUGACAGCUUCAAAAUACCCUCUCAGCUGCUUUGAGAGAGUUGUUGCCUUCAGCCCCAAAUAAGUGUCAGGGAUAAAAUCAGUGGCCUCAGACUGUUCCUGUUUCACUUCCAUGGUUUAAAAACAUCAAGCAAAUUCUUUAUUUGCUUUUUGGUGGUUUGCUUGUAGUAACAGUUCUGUUUCCAUUCCAUUUGUGCUCAGAUUUUUGAGCAAUAAUAUGUGCAAUCCCAGAAGACUGAGGUAAUACUUGUCUUCCAAAUUUUCUGGCAUUUCCUAAUGUACAUGAGAAAUUGCUGCAUUUCUUACAGUGGAAGAAAUCUUGGCAGGUUUGGUAUAUUCUGUAUCUGUAGCUAUUGCUUGAAUACAAUUCCAUAGGACAGAGAUGAUCUGUGUUAUUUAAUUAAAUGCAAUAUGUUGGUAUAGCAACAUUAUUGUGUUCCUUGAGCAUUUAAAUGUUUUCAAUGGUUUUGCUGUUUUCAAAAAGUAGCAUCUUUUUCAGUCCACUUAAGUGUAAAUAUUUAUUAACAUCUAAGGUUUCCUCUAAUUAUAUAAAUGGAACAAACCAAACACACCCAGAUGGUUACAUUUUCUGCAAUAGGACUCUAUUUUAUAUUCAGUUCUCUUGGUUUUCUGUGUAUAUGGAUGAUCAGACUAGAACUACCUGUACUGAAUCUUCAGCUGUCUCAUUCUUUGUGUCAGCGUCUGAAGCAAAUUACCUGCUAGCAAAGAUACUGAGAGAUGAAUCUUAGCAGCACAAAGUCCCUGAGAUUUUUGCAAUAAUUAAAAUAUUUUGGUUAUAGGCUCAGAUUUCCUGCUUAGACAUCAGCACUCUGAAGGCAGAUAAAUGAAAACGGUCCCUUGGGAAGUUGAGUUUCCAA